UACAGAGGGGGCGAGCGUUGUUCGGAAUUACUGGGCGUAAAGGGCGCGUAGGCGGCCUUCUAAGUCGAACGUGAAAUCCCCGGGCUCAACCCGGGAACUGCGUCCGAUACUGGGAGGCUUGAAUCCGGGAGAGGGAUGUGGAAUUCCAGGUGUAGCGGUGAAAUGCGUAGAUAUCUGGAGGAACACCGGUGGCGAAGGCGGCAUCCUGGACCGGCAUUGACGCUGAGGCGCGAAAGCUAGGGGAGCAAACGGG
rnacentral:rRNA from 1 species